rnacentral:rRNA from 1 species
UACGAAGGGGGCUAGCGUUGCUCGGAAUUACUGGGCGUAAAGCGCACGUAGGCGGAUUUGUAAGUCAGGGGUGAAAUCCCGGGGCUCAACCUCGGAACUGCCUUUGAUACUGCAAAUCUCGAGUCCGGAAGAGGUGAGUGGAAUUCCUAGUGUAGAGGUGAAAUUCGUAGAUAUUCGCAAGAACACCAGUGGCGAAGGCGGCUCACUGGCCCGAUACUGACGCUGAGGCACGAAAGCGUGGGGAGCAAACAGG